AUGAAUGUAAAUAUUCGAUAUUUACUAAAAAGGGAUACUGGAUAUUUUGGAUUGAAAAUUUACUUGUCCGACCAGCUUCUUGGUACUUGUAAGUUAGUACAACUCUUGGUCAAUGUGGAUGAGGAAACUGACCUGAAACAUCCUAUUUCCUUCACGUAUAAAUGGCUCCCUCCUGCGGAUGAUAAGGAUGAAGAUCGCCGUCAGCCCAAGGGCCUUAACUUUCUCCAUGACGCCAACCUGCCGGUGAUCUACAAGCAGGCCUUCAACAUCUACUGGACUAGGGUCAGUUUGAGCCUUCACGAGCUCGACAUCGGAGCCAGCACUCUACAUGCUUAUCGACGCGGUGGCCAUCGAGGUCAAACUUGUCCGGAAAUACUUGUCGGAGUAAUGGAUGUAUCUAUACGCAUUUUAGUUUUAGACACAUCCAUUUUUAUGCAUUUCUUCGACAUGUACUGUGAUUUGUGA
rnacentral:rRNA from 1 species